rnacentral:lncRNA from 1 species
AUGCCGUGUGGGACCGCGCUGUGCCGCACCGUGCCGUGCGGUACCGUGCCGUGCCAUGCCCUGGUGUGCCGUGCCAUGUGGAACUGCGCCGUGCCAUGCAGUACCGUGCCGCGGUGUGCCGUGCCAUGCGGCACCGCACUGUGCCGUCCUGUGUGGCACCAUGCCACGCUGUGCCACGCUGUGCCACGCAGUGCCAUACUGUGCCAUGCAGUGCUACGCCGUGCCGUGUGGCACCGCGCUGUGCCGUGCAGUACCACGCCACGCCAUGCGGUACCGCGACGUGCCAUGCUGUACUGUGCCAUGCCGUGCUGUGCCAUGCGGUACCACACCAGGACGUGCCAUGCUGUGCCAUGCAGUACCGCGACGUGCCAUGCUGUACCGUGCCAUGCCGUGCUGUGCCAUGCGGUACCACACCACGACGUGCCAUGCUGUGCCAUGCAGUACCAUGCCGUGCUGUGCUGUGCCAUGCAGUACCACGAUGUGCCAUGCUGUACUGAGCCAUGCGGUACCGCGCUGUGCCAUGCAGUACCACACGACGCCAUGCGGUACCGCACCACGACGUGCCAUGCUGUGCCAUGCAGUCCCACGCCGUGCUGUGCUGUGCCAUGCGGUACCGCGCUGUGCCAUGCAGUACCACACGACGCCAUGCGGUACCGCACCACGACGUGCCAUGCUGUGCCAUGCAGUCCCACGACGUGCCAUGCUGUGCCAUGCGGUACCGCGCUGUGCCAUGCUGUACUGAGCCAUGCCGUGCCAUGCAGUACCGCGCUGUGCCAUGCAGUACCACACCACGCCAUGCGGUACCGCACCACGCCAUGCCAUGCUGUGCCAUGUAGUCCCACGCCGUGCUGUGCUGUGCCAUGCGGUACCGCGCUGUGCCGCCCCACCCCACACAUUCCCAGCCCCUGCCCAGACGCUGCACCCCCCCACAACGGUUUGGGGCUGUUUCCUGGCUUUUCCAGAACCAGCUCAGAGCAGCCCGGGAGGCCAGGGACAGGUCCCUGUAGCUGGGACCCAGGCAGAGCAUGA